rnacentral:rRNA from 1 species
CCUACGGGCGGCAGCAGUGAGGAAUAUUGGUCAAUGGACGGAAGUCUGAACCAGCCAUGCCGCGUGCAGGAUGACGGCUCUAUGAGUUGUAAACUGCUUUUUUACAAGGGUAAACCUGAAUACUCGUAUUCAGCUCAAAGUCCUGUACCUAUAAGGAUCGGCUAACUCCGUUCCAGCGGCCGCGGUAAUACGGAGGAUCCAAUCGUUAUACGUAUUUAUUGGGUUUAAAGGGUGCGUAGGCGGAUUGGUAAGUUAGAGGUGAAAUGUCCGAGCUCAACUCGGGAACUGCCUCUAAUACUGUUGAUCUAGAGAGUAGAUGCGGUAGGCGGAAUGUAGGGUGUAGCGGUGAAAUGCUUAGAGAUCAUACAGAACACCGAUUGCGAAGGCAGCUUACCAAUCUAUAACUGACGUGGAGGCACGAAAGCGUGGGGAGCAAACAGGAUUAGAUACCCGUGUAGUC